rnacentral:rRNA from 1 species
GACGAACGCUGGCGGCGUGCCUAAUACAUGCAAGUCGAGCGAACAGACGAGGAGCUUGCUCCUCUGACGUUAGCGGCGGACGGGUGAGUAACACGUGGAUAACCUACCUAUAAGACUGGGAUAACUUCGGGAAACCGGAGCUAAUACCGGAUAAUAUAUUGAACCGCAUGGUUCAAUAGUGAAAGACGGUUUUGCUGUCACUUAUAGAUGGAUCCGCGCCGCAUUAGCUAGUUGGUAAGGUAACGGCUUACCAAGGCGACGAUGCAUAGCCGACCUGAGAGGGUGAUCGGCCACACUGGAACUGAGACACGGUCCAGACUCCUACGGGAGGCAGCAGUAGGGAAUCUUCCGCAAUGGGCGAAAGCCUGACGGAGCAACGCCGCGUGAGUGAUGAAGGUCUUCGGAUCGUAAAACUCUGUUAUUAGGGAAGAACAAAUGUGUAAGUAACUAUGCACGUCUUGACGGUACCUAAUCAGAAAGCCACGGCUAACUACGUG